GCGGCGGCGGCAGGUGGGACGCGGCCUCCGCUCGCCGCGGCGCGCGGGGAGCUGUAGGAGCCGGCAGCGGCUCGUGUCCUCGGCGCCGGCCCACCUCUGACCACAGACAAGCAAACUGGCCAUUAAAGCAAGCCUAAGCUGGAAACAUAGCUGUACUUAAUCUCCUCUUAGUACUAGAAGAGUGCAAAAACAUAGUGGGAUCCAUCUAGCCCUGUAUCUCAUCUCCAGCGGCAGCCAAGAGUGGGUGCUUAAUGAAACAAUGUAAAAAUAGACCAGAGGUGCAGAUUUUCCAGAGUCAGAUGAAUUUGUGUGCUGUUACCAGGAGAAGAAUUUGUCACGAAAGUAUGGGAAAAGCAUGGAGCUGACAUCUGUUACAAGCCACUCACAUAGUGAUGUGAGACACACACAGACACAGAGUCAAAAGCACUUUUCUUCAGCUGCUUGUCGGUGCUUUUCUGGCUAUAGAAAGCCUUGGUUUUCAAAGUAAUAUGCAGAAGUUACACCAAAACUGUGCCUGUUUUUAAGACAGAUCAGAACUUAUAUGCACUAGCAAAAUAUUCACAGGUUUAGCUGGUUUCAAAUGCUUUUUUAUUCAUUCUAACCAAUGCAUGAAUAAAAUGCUGCAAUAAAAAUUGAAUAAAAUGCAAUGAUGCUGCCCUUUAGGCAUCUUGUACUUUAAGGUCAAGCUUGCCGUUUCAGAAUUUUGCUCGACUUAGGUAUCUCUCUUGGAGGGGGGAAAAAAAAACACAGGAUUAAAAAGAAAUGCCUACCGGAACAUAUUUUUUUUAUUUUUACAGAUUUACAAGAUAUCUGACUAGAUAUUGUGGACAUUUCCAAAUUUUUUUAAAAAUAAAAAAUAUGCUUUUGAGUAAUGAUCACACGUGGAAAAAAAGGGACUAGUUUUCAGUUUCUGAAAAGAUUCUGAAAUAGCAGUUAAGCUUGGAACUCCUGCCAAGUUAACCAUUAUGACCUAAAUUAGAAGUUGGACAAAUCCUUUAAAGUUUGUAAAAUUGUCAUAUACAUGACUGAUGUAAGUCAAACAAUUUAUGCAUUAAACAAUUUGUUAUUUUCCUAUGGAUGUUAUUCCCAUAGUUUUUACUGUUGUUAAAAGUC